AAACCAUGGACCCCAUCCUUCGUUGCCCCCUCCCAUCGAUCCCAUCGACCCCCGCCGCCGCCGUCCGAGGGGGAGACGACGCCACCGCCGCCGUUCGAGGGGGAGACGACGCCGCCGCCGCCUCUGCAAGGCAGGGCGGUUUGAAUCCUGCCGCCGCCGAACUCCGGAUCUCCUCGAUCUCCUCGAUCUCAAGCGCCGGCAGCAUCACCUGGAUCUCCUCGAGCCAGGGCCCUCCGCGCGCCAGCACCUUCCCCAUCGCGCGCGAUCUGUCCGCUCCGACACACGGUGAGCGCGCUACCGCCGCCUUGUCACCGACGUCCUGAUCCAUCAGCGGCAAUGGCGGCUCCUUCUGGCGGAUCAAGGCGCGGAGACCCGUGGGAUCCCCUCCUUCGGCAGGACCUCCUCAUCUGAUUGCAUUCUUGCACGGAUAGAGAGUGGAACACCACCUUCAGUUUCUCAUCUGAUCCCACUUGUGGACUCCAUGAAUGAAGUAAGAUAACAAUCCAUUGGUCAAUUACAUUGCCUCUUUAGAUGGUUUUUAGUGGGCAUCAGACUUGGUUUAGAUGGCUUUUGUUGUGAAAGAAAACUAUCUUUCUAAAGACUGUACUCUGAAUCUUACAUCUCAUACUUGAUUAUUUUUUUGCAUAAUUUUUUUUGGGCCUGAUGUGUAUCCAACGGCAUGUGAGAUUAAAGAUUUGCAUGAGACUGACGAUUGUGAUUUUGGCCCUGUACUGAAUAAUUUUGGGAGCGACUGGAUGAUGAUGAUUACAAGCCAGACUAUGCAGGAGGACUGCAUGUGAUGAGUUAAGGCACAAGAACUACGACCAUUUUAGCUCCAGCAGUAAGUACACAACUAAUCAACAAUGCAUUUUCACGACCCAGACUUCUGCAUUCUGGUUGACAGGCUCGCUGGCACAACCACAUAAUCUCAUGCAUUCAAAUUGCUAGCUACACGAAAUACGCCCAGAUCUACGAGUAGGAAUCCAAGAAUAGGAAGAACCAUACCAACAACAUACAUACAUAUUACAGUUCUGCAUUUUAAAUUUGAAGACCAAGGCAAAGCCCGAUCGAUGUAAUUGGAGGCAUUGCAGUCCAAUUGUUCGAUUGUAACCAGACGUGUGACUGAAUAUUGCUUCGAACAUGUGAUUCUGCAAAGUUGAGGAAGUUGAGGAAGUAUGGACUCAGAUGCUUUAAGGGUUUGUUUCCAUACUGUGGGACAGCAGGAUCUGAGUCCCACUAUGAGGGAUCAACCUUCAGAGAUCAGCUACCGGCGUCAUACUGCCCCCACAAGAAACAAGAACUUUCUAACCAAGGGCAUACCUACAAGACAGCAGGAAGUCCUAAGGCACGCAUCACACAUUCACAAAAGCAACCUACUCGGGUCCUCCCUGUGCACAUCUGGUGGUGGCUCCUCCUUCUACUUCUUCAUGUGCAGAUCUAUUGGUGGCUCCUCCUCCCCUCCAUAGAUCUUUAUAUUUUGCCAUUGCUAAAGAUUGUGAUGAUAAGGUUCACAGGAGAUGCAGGUACGUCUUCUGUCCAGAAAGGAUAAAUUGGUGUCCAUUUGACCACAAGCAUAUGAUCUUUGCUCCACAAGGUUGUACUUUGACAAGGCAUGAUGCUCUUUUUUGUUUUUGAUCUCAAAAUAUUGAGAAGACAUGGAUUCAACUAGGGAGGAGUAGAGGAAGACCAUGCAAAUGAGGGAUAUUUUUGGCGGGCUGUGAGCUGGAUGUGCUAUUAGUCAUGGUGCCGAGCUUGGAUUGAGGAGAUGGAUAGAAGAAGGUCAAUGCGCUUGAGGAGGCGGCAAUAGCACACCUGUGGUCCAAAUCUAGGUGAAUUAUUGUGGCUGAUCUAGAGGCCUGUCUAGAGAACGGCAGGGCCACAACGUUCGUGCAGCGGUGGCUGUACACACCAUCCGGAGGCGAGCAACGGCUGCGCUGGCAGCCGCUUGGAAGGGAAGCGAAGGUCAUGGAGGAGGAGGCUAUGCAUGGCCGAGGAGCAGGUCGUGCGCUGCCGCAGGGACGGGAGAGCCGGCGCCGGCUCCAAGUACGCCAUCAUCCAAGUUGCACUUGGGCUUCCCUCCAGCAGGUCCACACCGUAUCUUAGGUCAUGAUCGGGCUGACAGCGGUUUGUCCACUACACUCGACCAUGUGCUCAGCUGACCUCGAUGCCCAUAUUUUCCUAGACACCAUGGCACGAGUACCAACCUCACAGGCUGAACUGAUGGAUGUUGGUAUUUUGAUCUUGCUAUGUCAAAUAGUAUGAUGUAAUCUAUGGAGCUGAAGCUAUAGCUAGAUCUUGAUCUUACUGUCAUAUCCGUGUCAAGCACAAGCCGGCGCCUCUAUUUCCGGAUUGACAGCACACGAUGAGAAGAAGACAUGGUUUACCUCAGAGCUGGGGACUACAGAGGAUAGCGUCUUUGUGAAUUCAGAUAAGAAUAAUAUUGUAAGGUGGCAAGGUAUCAUGUAUACAAUCAAGCAUUGCAAAGGACUAGCUACUGCCUUGUUUAUUUUUUUAUGAUUGCCCAAAAUUUUCUUACUAGAAUUUUGAGAAGUUUGGCCAUCAGUUCUACUGCUUGGUCAUUUUAUAUAUCAUGUUGUAGUCUUUCUUUUAAUACAAGGUAAUAUUAAUACCAUCCAUGUACUUUUGUGUUUGCUGUCCAGUACAUGGUGACUAAUUUUCAUAUACAUUUUGUUUCAUAUUAUCCAUGAAUAUGUUUUUUGUGCUAAAACAAAAAUAUGGGGGACUGGUCAGCAUGCUAGGUCAGAGCAAAGCAAAAACCCGUAUAAAUGAGUCCCAAGGAGCAAAGAUCAUUAUGUAGAAUAGAAUAUUUUUGCUCCAUGAAACCUUCUGGGCUCCAUAAAUUGUGUUUUUGUGCUCAUGCUUGUGCACAUUCUAUAAUUUUGAUUCGUUGUUCAGGCAUUUGGAGUUCACAGUUAUCUAAGUUUCUCUUAUGUGUGUUUUCGAAGAAUUUGAUACUUUAGAGUCUUUCUAUUAUAUUAUCUUUGAAUCUACUUAGAAUAGAUUAGUAGUAUGAUAUAGUGAAGUAAUCUAAUUCAAUUUCCUUUUUCAUUGCAACCACUUAAUUUCAAUUGGGUCAAAAUAAAAAAGUCGAAGACAAUUUUUUUCAGCCAUAAGUAGAACACCAGAGCUAAUUGAUACACCAUUUUGAAAAUUGAUACACUGUUGCAGGGAGAGCACCGCACGCAACAGUGGUCAAGGGCUUAGUGUCUGUUGACCUCGUCCGUGGCCGCUGUUGGUCGGUGAAGGAGGCAUGCAUGAGGUGGUGCAAGGGCAUGCUGGUGACGGAGUCGCGCAUGGUGAGGCCGGGUGAGUAACGCUCGGGAACUGCCGGGCGCUCAGACUGACGCGGGAUGGGGUUGGCGCGGUGACUCAAGGAGGAGGAUGUAGUUAUGGGGGAGGGAGUGACGAUGGAGGGGCUUCGAUGGCCCGAUGAGACCCUACAUCAUAAUCAAGGAGGACCCUACAUCUAAAGGAAACAGAGCAAUCUAUAUCAUUAGUCUAUUACUGGAUUUCUAGAAGGAAAAAGGGAUAAAUGGUUGUUUCUGCUACUCUACAUUUGCUUUAAAAUUGGUGUACAUAUAUCAAGAAGAACUUGGUUGCAAAAGUGAUCAAACAUAAGAGAAAACACAAACACAUUGGUUUUGUAA